CCCACAUAUGGAAAUACUUAAAAUAUUUAAAAACAUAAAUGUGCAUAAUUCACCUUACAUUAAUUUUCUUUAACUGCUGUAGCACCUUGUCUUGGGUCAUCCAAUCACAAGUUAUCUGCAAGCUUUUUGCAGCAGUCAUUUGCAUAUGUCUUAUCAUAGGAUUCUCAUUAAUAUAUACUGGAAAAAAAUUGUUAUUUAAAAUUUCUGCCUUUUCCUCGUCUUCAUUAACUAACACUCCCAUCUCUGUUUUCAAUGUACCUACACUUUCAUUUUUUGUUUUUUCAGCAUUGGUGUACU